UUGGAGAAGUUUGAUCCUGGCUCAGGACGAACGCUGGCGGCGUGCCUAAUACAUGCAAGUCGAGCGAGCUUGCCUAGAUGAAUUUGGUGCUUGCACCAAAUGAAACUAGAUACAAGCGAGCGGCGGACGGGUGAGUAACACGUGGGUAACCUGCCCAAGAGACUGGGAUAACACCUGGAAACAGAUGCUAAUACCGGAUAACAACACUAGACGCAUGUCUAGAGUUUAAAAGAUGGUUCUGCUAUCACUCUUGGAUGGACCUGCGGUGCAUUAGCUAGUUGGUAAGGUAACGGCUUACCAAGGCAAUGAUGCAUAGCCGAGUUGAGAGACUGAUCGGCCACAUUGGGACUGAGACACGGCCCAAACUCCUACGGGAGGCAGCAGUAGGGAAUCUUCCACAAUGGACGCAAGUCUGAUGGAGCAACGCCGCGUGAGUGAAGAAGGGUUUCGGCUCGUAAAGCUCUGUUGGUAGUGAAGAAAGAUAGAGGUAGUAACUGGCCUUUAUUUGACGGUAAUUACUAGAAAAGUCACGGCUAACUACGUGCCAGCAGCCGC
rnacentral:rRNA from 1 species